UACGGAGGGUGCAAGCGUUAUCCGGAUUCACUGGGUUUAAAGGGUGCGUAGGCGGGCAUGUAAGUCCGUGGUGAAAUCUCCGAGCUUAACUCGGAAACUGCCAUGGAUACUAUGUGUCUUGAAUGUUGUGGAGGUGGGCGGAAUAUGUCAUGUAGCGGUGAAAUGCUUAGAUAUGACAUAGAACACCCAUUGCGAAGGCAGCUUACUACGGAACUAUUGACACUGAGGCUCGAAAAGCGUGGGGGAGUCAAACAGGAAUUAGA
rnacentral:rRNA from 1 species